rnacentral:sRNA from 1 species
UCCAUUACCAGUUCACCGCCCUGCAUAA